AACAUCUGAAAGUUAAUUAACAAUAAAAUUUCCAAGAAGCCCUAUAUUGCGCCAAAGGAGAAAAAAGACUUAUGGUUAAGCCACGGUAUAAUUGUAAGCAAAGGAUACAGGGGAAGGGCGGCGGCUGCAAAUCGUGAACUCUGCUCUCAAUGUGAUAUGGUAAGGGAAAGGGCUUGCAGAGAUACUGAUAACCCUCAACUCUCCUCGCAGCCCGCGCCUCUUCAAGGCUUACGCAGGCAGAAGUGAAAUGGCGACACUAGCAGAGAACAGAGCAGAGUAAUCACUAACUGUUUCAGACUAUUCUCUCCUUUUUCUCGUUAUCUAUUCCGCCGCUGUAACGUGAAGCAUUGUAACCACUAUGUUAUCUGCCAAAAAAAUAUAAAACUGUACAUUUUGCUUUGAGAGAAAAUAAAAAGAGAUUUCUUUUCACUUA